rnacentral:lncRNA from 1 species
GCCCUGUUUUUUCCAUUACCUGUACCACCAGCCUCAGAGGGACCGAUCCUCAGAGGGACGGAUAAGAUAUUGCUUAGCACUUGGCGCAGCCAUCUGCUCAGUGGGCACCAGGGCUGUUUUCCCUUGACUCAGCAGUUGGUGGUGUGAGGACAGCAACCACUGUGCUGCAGUGGUACUGACACAGCUGUCCACAGCUGCAAUGAAACACAUGUAAAAGGGUUACUGAAAUGAGUGCCCGGAAAGAGACACUGAAGGCAACAUUAGGCAACACUCCUCACCUCCUGAAGCUCAGCCCUUAACCUCCCCCCAUCUCUUCCUUCCUCUUGCUUCUUACCUUACCCUUGUCAGCCCAGGUCAGAUCCUCUAAAAUGCCAUGAGAUUAAGUACCUCUUUCAUCUGCAUGUAGACUAUUUUCAUUGCUUCUGCAAUCACACAGCACACAAGGAAAGGUUGCAAGCAGGAAAAGAGGAGUAAAAAAUGAAGCCAAACCUCACUCAUCGUGUCACAGCACGUCUCCACAUCUUGGAGCCAGACAUGCUGCAGGAAGGAACAAGUCAAGGCAUGCACUGGAAAUGAAAACCUGCACCUGGCAUCCCCUGCAGGGAUUUCAGCUCCUUGCUGCCCUGAGGUGAGUGCUGC